rnacentral:rRNA from 1 species
AUUGAACGCUGGCGGCAGGCCUAACACAUGCAAGUCGAACGGUAACAGGAAGACGCUUGCUUCUUUGCUGACGAGUGGCGGACGGGUGAGUAAUGUCUGGGAAACUGCCUGAUGGAGGGGGAUAACUACUGGAAACGGUAGCUAAUACCGCAUAACGUCGCAAGACCAAAGAGGGGGACCUUCGGGCCUCUUGCCAUCGGAUGUGCCCAGAUGGGAUUAGCUAGUAGGUGGGGUAACGGCUCACCUAGGCGACGAUCCCUAGCUGGUCUGAGAGGAUGACCAGCCACACUGGAACUGAGACACGGUCCAGACUCCUACGGGAGGCAGCAGUGGGGAAUAUUGCACAAUGGGCGCAAGCCUGAUGCAGCCAUGCCGCGUGUAUGAAGAAGGCCUUCGGGUUGUAAAGUACUUUCAGCGGGGAGGAAGGGAGUAAAGUUAAUACCUUUGCUCAUUGACGUUACCCGCAGAAGAAGCACCGGCCAACUCCGUG